rnacentral:sRNA from 1 species
UAGACCUCCCAUUCUCAUUUGCAAAUCCUCAAAUCCUACACCGUUUUGACCUCAAAAAA